AGUGAACGCUGGCGGAGUGCCUAAUACAUGCAAGUCGAAGGAAGUGGCGCACGGGUGAGUAAUAUAUAGCUAAUCUGCCCCUUGCUGGAGGACAACAGUUAGAAAUGACUGCUAAUACUCCAUAGCAAGGGAUGAGACUAUAUCGUAUCAGCUAGUCGGUGGGGUAACGGCCUACCGAGGCUAUGACGCGUAACUGGUCUGAGAGGAUGAUCAGUCACCGUCGAACUGAGACACGGGCCAUACUCCGAGGGGAGGCAGCAGUAGGGAAUAUGGCGCAAUGGGGGAACCCCUGACGCGGCAACGCCGCGUGGAGGAGGACACUUUGCGGAGCGUAAACUCCUUUUGUUAGGGAAGCGGUACCUAACGAAUAAGCACCGGCUAACUCCGUGCCAGCAGCCGCGGUAAUUC
rnacentral:rRNA from 1 species